GUGAAUCAUCAAAUUUUUGAACGCAAAUUGCACUCUCUUCGGAGAGUAUGCCUGUUUGAGGGUCAGCCUAAAAAAAAUCGACAUCGUUGCUGUUUCGCGGUGGCGUUCGUCGGAAAUUGGGUUAUCUUAAAUCUUUGGUUUAAGCGACUUAUAAUGUUCUUUUCGAUUCCCUGCACGUUUCCAAGAUUUAUUUCUUUUCACGCUUAAGGUAUCUAUUUCUUUAUGCGACGUCGCCAUAUCUUC
rnacentral:misc_RNA from 1 species